UCUCCCUAUGGUUUUCGAGAAUUCCGGACGGAUCUUCUCAACGAGCAGCCUGCGAUUCGGGACGCAUUUGCGCGCAAGAACAAGGUAUGGGAUCGCCAAUGCCAUGCAUCUUCUCUCUUUGUUUCUUCGGCAGCAUGAUAUUAAGAAGAAUCCAGCGUUCCGGGCUCUAUGUUUUUCCUCUACUUUUUUCUUCGUCGAACUUCCCGAAUCCGGGGAGCCAAUCACGAGCGAUGAUUGUCUCAAGGUUUUCAUUCGGUUGUAGUCUCACAAUGGAGGACUAAUUGAUCUCAACGAGCUUUUGCUUCUCGAAGGAGAGACGAACUUCACGGGAGCCAAUCACUCAAGACUCGUUCAAGAAAUGGUCCCAUGACAGUAUUGAUCACACAAAAGCUUUUGAAGCCUUACAGCGGAUCUUUAACGUAUCCAGGUCCAUGGAUUUGUUCUGGUUGAAGACGUAGAACGCGCUCUAUUGUGGCUCGAGUGAUCGAUGCUUUGGGAACAUGGGAUGCUCUCACUUGUUUCUUUCGAACUCAAGUUCUAGCAAUGCGGAAGAAAUCUAAAAAGCUUUUCAAAAGUAACGAGCAUUCGCUUUA